UACGAAGGUCCCAAGCGUUGUUCGGAAUCACUGGGCGUAAAGGGAGCGUAGGCGGUUUGGUAAGUCAGAUGUGAAAUCCCGGGGCUCAACCUCGGAACUGCAUUUGAUACUGCCAGACUAGAGUAUUGGAGAGGUAACAGGAAUUCUCGGUGUAGCAGUGAAAUGCGUGGAUAUCGAGAGGAAGACCAAUGGCGAAGGCAUGUUACUGGACAAUUUACUGACGCUGAGGCUCGAAGGCUAGGGGAGCGAAAGGG
rnacentral:rRNA from 1 species